ensembl:lncRNA
UCAAUGAAAAGGACAGUUUUAUUAUAAAUCUGUAAAAAUGAAAAGUUUAAUGGCAAACAUGAACAUGACAAUUAGGGUGAUUGUAUCAUUUAUAAAAGCAACAACACAAAAAAUACACGUGUCUGUAGAAAAAACAGCUACUGCGUAUAUAAAGCAAGUGUCCUCUUUGACAACGACUUAUGUGUCAGUGCACCCUAGGAGUAUAUUCAUCAGAGAUCUUCAUCAUUUCAUAAAGCGUUUAAAGGAGAUGAUUAGAUCCUGUGCUUUGGAAAAAAAAACAGAGACAAACGAAAGAACAAAUAGAUUAGAUAAAAACAAAUUAAAAAAAAGUUAAAUAAAAAUAACACAACCACGUAGAAUGACUUUAGAAAAAAACACAAUCUUUACAGGAAUUGCACUUUAAAAAUACUGGUCCAUGUGAAUAAAUAUUUGCAGUACCUUUCCAUAUAACUCUCGCUCGUACAGUACUUUAACACAGCAACUGUAUAUUAUAGCUGUCGAAAAGUGGGCUAACUAGGGCGGAAAAAAGGCCAACACAAAACUGAACUGUCUUAUCGUUUCUCCAGCUGCUUCUGUUCAAAGUACAAGAUUGCAUAAUAGCACGUCAAUAAAUUAACACCAAUGACAUCAAGAGGAUAAAAAAAAGAUUUACAAAACAUACUGCAUAUUCAACAUAGUGUCUAUAUAUAUAUAUAUAUAUUCAUAUAUAUAGAUAGAUAUAUAAUUCAUAUAAUAACAUCAUCGCAUCAUUCCAAAGCUGUACAUAAGUGCUCUUUCUCUUCUUCUUCCGACUCAAAGCUGGACAGCCAAUGAACGACUGCGUCUCCAGCCUCCAUUUCUGUCUCUUUUGCCCCGCCCCUUUUAAAAGGCCCCUCCCCCCUCUCCCGCCUGCAUCAGAGCGGUGUCUCGCCAGCGGGCGUCGGCUGCUCUUCCUGCUCGGUCUCUGGGGGGACACGCCUCUUCGCCACGUGUCUCACCCCUCCGCGGGUCAAGGGGCCCGCCUCGGAGUCGCGCCACGGCCCCGGCGGUUUCCUUCCUCCCUGGCCCCGGCCCCCCGCGCACGCCCCUCGCCCGUCCGCCGCGCGGGGCUCGGGCCCGCCUCCUCUUCUUGCUCCUCCUCCUCCUCCUGCUCAAGCCGCCCUCUCAGCGGGGACGGGCCCCCGGCGCCGGGGCCGCACGCGGGGCGGUACGGAGGGGCCCGUCUAGGCUGGAUCAUAUGGAUCCCCCCGAUGGCGAUGGUCCGGCCGGGGGGGGUCCCGGCGGCCGGCUGCUGGGAGUGGAGGGGCAGGUGGCUCAGGAGCCCCGGGGGCGAGCGCGAAGGGGGGGGCAGCGGGUCCGGGCGGAGGGUCCGGGCGGCCUGGGGGGGCAGGGGACGGGGGGGAGCGGUCAGUGGGAGGACGGGGUUCUGGAGCGGAGCCUGCGUGGCCUCCUAUAAAUACAUCAAGAACACAACAUGGUUAUGAGUUGUUUGUUACAACAGCUACAAAGUUAGCUUGUUGUUUCCACGGAUCGACACGCAGAUAAGGCAACACGUUGUGCUCUAAAACGGUCGUGUUAUGCUGUUGAUUCUGCUCUCAGGGUUUCACACUUGCUGCAGUCACAACAGGGGCCUCUUUAGGUGUCGACGCCGUUGUGUAUUCCCUUUAUUAGAGUCCACUGAGACGUUCCCAGAGGCUACUUUGGGAGUUGCGGUUUCUUGGUUGUUAAUGAUAGGCCGGGACAACAUUUUAUCACCACUGCCCAGAACUAAAACAACACGUUUGCACCUAUUUGGGAUGUCUCUGGGAUUAUUUUAAGGUUUUGGAGGGUGGCCUGGAUUUGAACAGUUUAAAAGAACAUAGUGGCUGUUCUCUCUCCCCUAAAAGGAUGUUCCUAAAAAAACCCUCAGGUGUUAGCCUAUCUAUAUUUGUUUCCAAUGUUGACCCGUUGGGAUGUAAAUGUGCCACACACGCUUACUUAAACCCAGAGAGCCGAGCCAUCCAGUCAUGCAAUCGGCGAAUGCAAAAUUAGAUUUAGUAAAUUGUAUGUUAUGUGUACAAAACUAAUGAAAUAAAAACAACAAACACCCUGGUUUUGCAGCAGGCGUGCCCGCCGUGGCGCCGUGUGCUCCCUGAGGGCGGCGCUGUAAGUCACCCACCUGUGUGUUGGUUCCAAUCCCCGCGGCGGCUCCCAGUCUCGGUGGGGGGGGGGUCGGAGCCGAGCUACCCGCCUCGGGAGCAGAACUCAGGCUCUGAACGCCGCAGGGCAAAGCCCCCCCGACCGGGGACGGGUGGAUCUGAAGGCCGGGGGAGGAGCUGGGGGAGACGGCGGGGCCGGGGACGGAGGGCGGGGAAUGGGGACGGGGGAGACCGGGCGGUGACCGGGUGCGAGCCAGGGCCCCUGUCGCCGGGGCCACCGUCGCCGGGUGGCGGUCAGGAGACGGGCUGGAGGUCCGCGGCGGGGGGGUCUCGGGCGGCGGGGGGGUCCUCAGGGAGAGCUGCCGACGGGCGAACAGGGCCCGCCUGGAGCCGGCCGAGGGGGUCCGUGGGGGAGACCCGCCGGCCCCGCCUCCGGGCUCUCCCGCGUUCUGAUUGGUGGGAGAGGCCGGCGGAGCCCUGCGGCGGCCUUUGACCCCUGCGUCCUCGUGGGGGUCGUCCUCCUCGUUGUUGUUGUUGAUGUCGGACGUGCCGCUCCGCUCCUGUGGGGGGGCCGGGGGGAACUCUGCCGGGGGCUCCUCAUCGACGUGGUCAAAGGACGCGCCGUCAAAGACGCCUACGGUUCAU